rnacentral:lncRNA from 10 species
AAGGCAACUGGCGGAGUGGCGGCUCCACCAGAGCCUGGGAGCUGCCCCCGCCCCCGAGCCGCGAGCCCCGCGCCGGGCCGGGGAGUCCCCGGCGCCACACGCCCCCACCACCCCCAUCUUAGCGCCCCCCACCCUCUAUGGAGACAUUUCAACCAGGGAGAAGGGAAGUCCUGCCCUUGCCCCUCGCCCCCGCCCUGCUCCUCCAACAGGGGAGACUUCUGUCCAAACCUUGGAAAGAAACGAGAUGCCAGGCCUAGCGCCUUCGGGGAUCCUCUCUGGACAAGGCCACAGGGUGAAAACACCAGCACUUCCUGGAGGCGUUUGACCGGGACCUGGGAGGGCAGCUGAGAAGUGCCUGACCAUUCUCAAGGAGCUGCGUGGAUUCCAGACAUCUCUGGGCUGGUCUCUGGACCGGGAUGGGGGACCCAGAGGUGGAGCCGAACACACAAGCAGCACUUGAGGGCUCCGAGGGUGGCAAGGAGAGAAGUUCCUGCUCUGGUACAGCCCUGGGACCUUGAAAGACUGAAGCUAAGAAGUGCUGGAGACAGCAGUUGCUUUAGCCACAGGCUGUGUAGACCACCUGAGGAUGACCUGGGGGUCUGUUUUGUGCACCUUGGAACCCAUCGGAUCCCUCCAAUGACACAUUUGUCCAGAGCAAGACAAGAUCACACUUUGACAGCCCUCUGUCAAGAUCCUUGCUCCAAAUCUCCAGACUAGCAGCCAGGAGUCUCCAUGCUGUUCUGAAGAAGCAGAUUCCUCACCCACCCUUCAACUCCUUCCCAGGAGGUAAUCCUCCUCCAAAUCUCUGGAAAAGAUACACCUCCUCUUCUCUGAUAAAGGCUGGGGGGUGAUGCCCCUCCCCCAGUUUCCCAAUAAAGCUAUGCAAGACAGGAGCAAGGGAUCUCACGGCCUGUUUUUGCUACAAAAACCCUUUUUCGGAAAAAAUAAUAAAGAAAGGAAUCAGCCAAUCCCUCCUCGAUGCCA